GAUGAACGCUGGCGGCGUGCCUAAUACAUGCAAGUCGAGCGAAUGGAUUAAGAGCUUGCUCUUAUGAAGUUAGCGGCGGACGGGUGAGUAACACGUGGGUAACCUGCCCAUAAGACUGGGAUAACUCCGGGAAACCGGGGCUAAUACCGGAUAACAUUUUGAACCGCAUGGUUCGAACUUGAAAGGCGGCUUCGGCUGUCACUUAUGGAUGGACCCGCGUCGAAUUAGCUAGUUGGUGAGGUAACGGCUCACCAAGGCAACGAUGCGUAGCCGACCUGAGAGGGUGAUCGGCAACACUGGGACUGAGACACGGCCCAGACUCCUACGGGAGGCAGCAGUAGGGAAUCUUCCGCAAUGGACGAAAGUCUGACGGAGCAACGCCGCGUGAGUGAUGAAGGCUUUCGGGUCGUAAAACUCUGUUGUUAGGGAAGAACAAGUGCUAGUUGAAUAAGCUGGCACCUUGACGGUACCUAACCAGAAAGCCACGGCUAACUACGUGCCAGCCGCCGCGGUAA
rnacentral:rRNA from 1 species